rnacentral:lncRNA from 1 species
UCCACCUCGGGCACCCACCACGGCAGCCACAAAAAGAGGAAGAACAAGAACCGGCACAGGAUUGAUUUGAAGUUGAACA